GCCAUUCAGUCGAGGAAAAGAUUUGGACCACUUUGGGCCGCUACAUCGUUUGCGGAUCCCCCAAAAGAGAAGUUCCAGCCUGUACCUACCAGCAGUCAGAAGUGUGAGGUGUGUGUUUGGGAGUUCUGUAAAGCUGCGUCCGUUUGUGCUGUUUGGGCUUUUCGGUCCCUUUGGUGAUUUAUGCGAAACAUUACGACAGGCUGCAAGCUGUUGUUGCUCUGCUCUGAGUUUUUUGCACGACUUUGGGAGUGAGUGAGGGCUGAGCCGGUCUCCAUUGGCACGUCCUGUGGAUUUGCUUCAAAUUUAAGUUAGCGGUGGUGAUUGAAGAGAAGGAGUUUGUCAGAAGGCUUAGAAUUCCAUCGACGAAGAAUUGUUACGAGGAAAAAUAAAAGUUUGUAAACGGUACGGGAAAAAAGGGGAAUUUCAAAAGAAGGUAAAGUCCUUCUAAAGUGAUGUAACUCUUGACACGCGUGUGUAUUUUUCUUCCUUUGCCGCAAGUGUUUCGUACACCUCGUUCUCCCGCACUCCAUCUCAAGCUUGAGUGGCAAUCAGUGUGAGUUUUAUGUAAUCGUUACCCGUGGAAAGGAAUGGUGCAGUGGAGCAACUAGGAGCAUAUUUGAAGCAUUCGCAGCGACCUACUGACAAGAUCCUUUGGAGUUGCUCGCUAUCUAAAAGGACCGAUCUGCAGGAAACAUGCCAUUUAUUGGAACCGUUUGAGUUUAAAGGACGAGGAAAAAUCAAUGGUUUGAGUGCUGAUUAAGAGAAACGUGCCUAACAGUCAAUUUUCUUCUCUGGCUUUCAUGUGAUUACAGGAGAUUUUCGAUUGAAAUCAGUGUGCAAUACAUUUAUCUGAAAGUGUGAAGCCCAUUUACCGGUGAAAAAUAUCUAAGAAGCAAAAAAAUACGUGGAAGGUUUCUUACAUUAAGCCAAUGUUUGCAAGUCAUUAACGAUUCACGCAAAUAAGACCGAAAGGUGUAGAAGCGAUAUUGAAACGGGGCAGAAAAUCCACCCUCGUCGUUCCAAGUGUGGCAAAAAAUACAACUGGUAGAGGUGAACACCCCGUACCCAGCAAAGUGAAACGAUUAGCCGAACCGGAAGUUUAUUAUUCUCGCUGUUUUUCUCGGCACUGUUGGUGAAAAUAAAGGAGGCUAUCUUUUGUUGCGGCGGAGACGACGCCGUUUUUUUGCACGCAAACCAAGCCGGGUCAGGAAGUUUCCUAAUUAGAGAUUGUCAUCUCCAGGCAGUUUCCGGAAAUUUGCGUUGAACACUUUAAGGUGCAACCACAUUCAUUCUUGCAAUCAUAACGCUCUCAUCGCUUCCCCAGUAGAAUGGAAUCCACUGCAUUAUGACAAUAACCGGGAUCACUAGAAGAAGCGAAAGCACGCCAAGCGGAUAGAGACAGUCAGUCCCGGAAGGAGAGCAGCCAGAGCCAAGAGAGAGAGAGCCAGAAGAGCACACGACAAAAAGUCACCUAACCACCCCAACCCUUUUUCGGACUUGGUGAAGUGCAACAUGAGCUCGCGUCACGCCUUCUACACCGUCGAGGUGGGCGACACCAAGUUUACGAUUCUGAAGCGAUACCAAAACCUGAAACCGAUCGGAUCCGGCGCGCAAGGCAUUGUGUGUUGAAUCGCCUACCUGAAUUUGGUUACACUUUGGUUAUACUUUUUGUUAGAAAAUAAGUUUUAAAUCCUCAGUUGAUCGUCGCCCAAGAAUAUCUGAAUAUACAUAUCACUAGUAGUAGCACUUAGCGUAUAGAAUCAUCGUUAAAAAUGAGUCAACAUAAGACGGACACCUUUGAAAAGUACCAAUUCGGUGAUACCGAGUUUGAGGUUCCUUCGCGGUACAUCAGACUGGAAGCGAAGGGCUUCGGUGCCCAGGGCAUGGUCUGUGCCGCGUACGACACAAUCACCCAGCAGAAUGUCGCCAUCAAAAAGCUAUCACGACCGUUCCAAAAUGUCACACAUGCCAAACGAGCCUACAGGGAGUUUAAGCUUAUGAAAUUAGUCAAUCAUAAAAAUAUUAUCGGACUAUUAAAUGCAUUCACGCCUCAACGUACGCUCGAAGAGUUCCAGGAUGUGUACCUCGUCAUGGAACUCAUGGACGCCAAUCUGUGCCAGGUCAUCCAGAUGGACCUGGACCACGAGCGGAUGUCGUACCUGCUCUAUCAGAUGCUGUGCGGCAUCAAGCAUCUCCACUCGGCCGGUAUCAUUCACAGGGACUUGAAACCUUCCAACAUCGUGGUGAAAUCGGACUGCACGUUGAAGAUCCUGGACUUUGGACUGGCCCGUACGGCUGGAACGACAUUCAUGAUGACACCGUACGUCGUAACGAGGUAUUACCGCGCACCGGAGGUCAUCCUCGGCAUGGGAUACAAGGAGAACGUGGACAUCUGGUCGGUUGGAUGCAUCAUGGGCGAGAUGAUCCGGGGAGGAGUGCUGUUCCCCGGCACAGAUCACAUCGAUCAGUGGAACAAAAUCAUAGAACAACUGGGAACUCCGUCGCCCUCGUUCAUGACCCGGUUACAGCCAACGGUGCGGAACUACGUCGAGAACCGUCCCCGAUACACCGGCUAUCCGUUCGAUCGGCUCUUCCCCGACGUGUUGUUCCCGACCGACUCGAACGAACACAACCGCCUCAAAGCUAGUCAAGCGAGGGAUCUGCUGAGCAAGAUGUUGGUCGUCGAUCCCGAGCACCGCAUUUCCGUCGAUCAGGCACUGGUGCACAGCUACAUCAACGUGUGGUACGACGAGAGCGAAGUCAAUGCGCCUGCCCCCGGUCCGUACGAUCACAGCGUAGACGAACGCGAGCACACCGUCGAACAGUGGAAGGAGCUCAUCUACCAGGAGGUCAUGGAGUAUGAGGCCCGCAACAAUCUGACCGACGGGGAAGGUACCCCGCGGUAGAAAUCAUCGGCCGAAUAAAACGACCCAAAUCUGGUGUUCCUGAACUCGACGGCCGCAAAGACGACGACGACGACGACGAAGAUGGAAGCCAGCAGUUUGUGCGAAGAGCGUUUGGUAUGAUCAACGGACAGGACGGAUAAUUUACCAGAAGAGAGACAAAUCCCAAAACUUACGAAUGUGAUUCCGAGACAGAGAAGAAAAGUUGCUAAAAACUGACAUUCAAUGGAUCCUUGUUCCCCAAAACUAAGAUAAAAUCACCUAAAAACAGCCAACAUUCUCCGUCUCAUCACCAUUCGCCUGACGAUUCAUUCAAAUAAGGUGAUUGCAUACAUAACUUCAAUCAAGCAUCCAGAGAAGAUAGUGGUUUCGUUCUGACAGCCCUGAAUAGGGUUGGCAAAAUCGUACUAAAGGACAAAAAAAAGUAUUUGAUCGGCUAAGAAAGAAUACAAAAAAAAAUAUCGUGCGCUGUGAAGAUCAUCACUAAAACAAAAUUAAUAAACACAACAAUGAUUAGACAGAACAAUUAAGUGGAAAAAGUAAAUUCUGUACCCCAAGCAAGGUUUGUAAAUAUUUAUUAAAUUUGUGACAGGCAACUUGUGAGCAGACAGGCGGAAAAUCAAUGGCAUGACAAACCUAGAUUUAAUUAUUACAGACAGUUCGUAGUGAGUGAGUUAAGUGAAUAAACGUAAACACAAACCCAGCUGGUCAAAAUGUGCAAUAAUUUUAUCGCGUCAACAGUUUGGAACCCAUACAACAAUACCAACCGAAAAGCUUCCAUUCGGAAUGAUCCAUGUCCAAAUGAUACAAAUUUAAUCGCGAAAUAAUCAACUAUAUGGGGAAAUGGACGCGUCAUACAUACAAAAGCACAUACGAUCCUCAUUUACGUUCAGUGUCCAGUCAUCCGGAACGUAGACUGCAACAUACGACAAACAGAUAGACAUUGGAUGGUGAUAAGGUGAGUCUAUCGAUUAAACUCUGUUCUGUUUCUAUUCUAUUGUGAAGAUGCUCAGGUUAACUCAUGGCAGACUAGAUUCGAUUAUUGAAAUCAUUUCGUUGCAGCACAGCCUACCACAGCUGUCAAAUCCCGAUACGUCAAAACAAAAUGGUCGAUUGUUGUUUUAAGUUUGGUUUGACAAGUGGAAUUUAUUUAUUUAUUUGUUCACCAAAACACACAAUAUCACGACUUUACAUAUUUUAGUCUUGACUUCUUAAUCUAUUCAUUAAUUUAGAUAACACUGCCCUUUAUUCAAGUUAAGGUAACUCAAGUCGAUGAGGACAUCUAGUUCAAGGGUCGAAUAGAAAAUAUAAUCAACAUUUCACACGCUCACACAUAAACAUUUUCAAAAACAAUUACAUUUGGUUGCCAUUUCAAUUGCCAUACAUAAUUGAAAUAUAAUACGAAUCCGAGAAAGUGAACGCAGAAUGUACUGGUUAGUACUUAAGUAUGGCAAAAUAAACCAACACAAACAGAUCAACUUUAGAAGGCAAAAACAAUUAAUUUUUGUUCGGUAUAGGGCGUAAAACAAUUCCCGUGAGAACGAAUCGUUCCGGAUUGAAGUUGGAUUGAUUUGUGGUAGUAUGAAGUAAAUACCAGUAUGUAAACGUUAAUUAUGCAAACAAUAAAUAAAGUAGAACAAAAACCCUGUAAAUAGUACUAAUGUAUGGAAGUAAUAUUACAAAUCUAGAAAACAAAGUCUAAACAACCAGAGAAAAUCAUAUAGCAAUUAGUGCAGCCCAAACAUACGUUUGAAAUAGUCAUGCAAAGUAAAAACCAAGCUCCGAUCAUUUUUUGAUGAUUGGGUGCAUUGACAGCAGUUGAAAAACCCAUCAUCGCGAAAGAAUAAAACACAUAAACCAGCCUUCGUUAAUGGAAGGUCCCUUUUUUGCGAUGGUAUUUUUUAGCAAAAGUUAUCUCAAAGAAUGUAAAAUUUAUCGCAAGCACACCUACUCUGGUAAAAGAUAAAAUACUGACACAAAACACACAUGUUACUCUUCUACUGGGAGCUGAAAAUAUUCCUAUCGAUCAUACAUAGCCAGCAAGCUAGACAAACAACACACAAACGCAAAAUUCCGACUUAGCCGACAGGUUCAAUAUGACAAUUCUAAGCAAACAAACUUAUAGAACAUAACUACACAUGGAAGCAAAUGAGUAAAAGAACAGUUUUACGAUUCCGCCCUUUUUAUAGAAUGAAAAAAAAAAAUACAAAUGAUAUAAACGGGAGAAUAAUGGAAAAUAUAAAAACAUUUACCUUCUAUCAAGAGCUGCAAACAUAAUUUUGAUUCACGGAAAAUAUUUCCCAAAUAGAAUUGUUAUAACUUUUCGAGAAAAAAGAGAAAACAUUUCGAUGAAAUGUCAAUCUGUUCGAUAGGAUGACAUACUAAUUGAGACAAAAAAAAAAAUAUAGUGACAAUCGCUUCCUUGAAUUUCCGUUAAAUACUGAUUAGAAUUAUAAUUUGCUAAUCUCGUCGCUUAUUGGCAAUAUUCUUCAGGAUAACUGAAAAGCAGAACUAAUAUAUUAAAUAAACGUCCAAGCAUUUAAACAAAACAAAAAAAAUCUAAACAAUUUUACCGCAAAACAGUCGUAGGAUCCGAUUCACACACACCAGCACAGUUCACAUUCUAUCUCAUCCCGCUUUCUGAAUAGGUUCGAUUAAUUCUCAUUUCUAGAAGUACUUAGCCAUCCCCUCAGUAUGACAAGAAAUAAACGAAAACCUCUACAACACGAAUUACUUCAGUAGGAUGUAGUUAGAAAUCAUUCGAUAGGCUCUUUUCCUCUUCUCAAGACAAAAACUUAUUUUCCUCUAGUUCACAACUCUUGAAGACUUGAACAAACAAGCAAGAAAGCAUAAGUAGUAACUAUCUCUAACUGACACGGUUACAAAAAACAUGCAAAGAUAACAAAAAAACGAAAAUUGAAAAUUAAAGAGAGGAAGUGUUUGAAACACACAGAAACAGCAAAAUAUUUAAAUUUACAGCUAGACUUACAGCAACUAUUACAACAAAAACUACAUACUGAAAUAAGCGAGGAAAAGAAAAGCAACAAGUGAAAGCACGGUUGAUCCAGGCGAACGGGGGACGAUAAAAACUUUGACAAACAAACAAACACGCAGUCUCACACUCACACUUUACGGUAGGAAUGGCGGAACUGAAUAACAAAACAAAACAGAAAACAAGUAAAAAAUGCAUGGCGAAAAUGAAACUGAGUCGGUUUGAUGGCGGAAAGGAAGAUUGAGUGUAGAAGUGUAUUAAGAUAAAGGCAGAACGUAAAUAAUAUUAUAUUAAUUCAAACAAAACAAAA